CCUACGGGGGGCAGCAGUGAGGAAUAUUGGUCAAUGGACGAGAGUCUGAACCAGCCAAGUAGCGUGAAGGAUGACUGCCCUAUGGGUUGUAAACUUCUUUUAUAAAGGAAUAAAACGAGGCACGUGUGCCUUUUUGCAUGUACUUUAUGUAUAAGGAUCGGCUAACUCCGUGCCAGCAGCCGCGGUAAUACGGAGGAUCCGAGCGUUAUCCGGAUUUAUUGGGUUUAAAGGGAGCGUAGGUGGGUUGUUAAGUCAGUUGUGAAAGUUUGCGGCUCAACCGUAAAAUUGCAAUGGAUACUGGGAGUCUUGAGUGCAGUAGAGGUAGGCGGAAUUCGUGGUGUAGCGGUGAAAUGCUUAGAUAUCUCGAAGAACCCCGGUUGCGAAGGCAGCUUACUAAACUGUGACUGACAUUGAGGUUCGAAAGUGUGGGUAUCAAACAGGAUUAGAUACCCGAGUAGUC
rnacentral:rRNA from 1 species